UCUGGCAAAGCGACCACAGGAGUAGAGCGUUGCGGGAGGCAGGGGCAGCCAGGGCGUGCAGCCAGCCUGUGGCAUCCGUGUGGGCUGGAACCUUUCUGUGCAGGCAGCAAGAGGCAGCGCCAGCCCGGCAGAGGGAGGCGCUGUGAAAACAUCCAGCAGGCAGGACGAGGGGCGGUUGAAAGCAGAACUGCCAGUUAACUCCAGGAUACUAAGUUCUUGCUGGUGCCCUGGGUUAUGAAAAUUGAGCAUGAAGCGUUGGGCGUGCUCAGAGUGGCAACUGAAUAACAGACGCUGUUCUACUCUGAUCUCUAUAGGCCUCCUACUAGCCUCAUUAUGGUGGUUAUUAUUUCAUUAAAGUAAUAGAUCUUUUGUGUUGGGUUAGAGAACAUGACCUACAAGACUGAGACUGACUCUCCACCCUUCUUAGAUGGCUGACUCGCUCUUAACAAAACGCGCAUCUUCGGAGACCAAAAAACAAAUUGUGCUGCUAGCGCCCAAUCCUGCAAAGUGCAGUGUCCCGGCUACUCCAUCUGACGUCCAUGAGAGUUGUGAGGGCUCAGCAGCUGGCAGGGUCGUUACAGAGAAGACACAGAGUCUGGCUGGUUUGGAACAUAGCACAACACCUUGCUGUGCAUGGGAAUAAUACCACUAUGGUUAAAUGUUGCCAUUUCACCUGAAUGAGAAGUUGUCCACCUAUGCACUACAGUGCCUGUAAUGCUUCUGUACCAGGCACACACUUCAUUUUUUAAACAGAUAGUUUCUCCUAGCUGGAACUGUCAGGCUGGACCGCGCUCCACAGAAAGGGUGCGAACAGCACGAGGCAGCAUCUGCGCAUGCGUAGUCUGGUGGGGGCUACUGCUAAGGAAAACUCUCUGAGCUGGUGUGCCAGGAUGUGCCCAACAUCUGUAAUGGAGCACCCAUGGGGACACACAUCUCGAAGGACAGACAUUACUGCACAGGUAUCAAAGAAAUUAUACUUUUAAAGCUCAACAGGAGGUUAAAAAUGCAACACUGAUUUAUUGAUAUCGUGAUUCUCACCCAAGUUGUUUUGCAACAAACUGCAAGACUUCAUCACUACCAUACUAAAAAAGGUGAGAAAACCACAACAUUAGUUUUCCCUUCUUUUAUCUACAAAGACUUUUCAAGCAAGCUUUCUGCUUCUGAAAUCCUCACUUUGAACAUACAGAAGAGAUCACAGGUCAAAUUGGAUAAUUUCAUCACUUUUUUGCCUUCCUUUUGUGGUGGUGAUUUGUGCGUGGAACAUAUCAAACAUUAUGACAAAAACAUUUGUGUGGAAUACUUAUAAAUAUUUUCAAAUUUAAACCAAUAUCCACCUUCAUCAUACAGUCCAAUUACUGUUGAGGAAAAAGAGGGAUUCUUAAACAUUUCUUUUAGAGGCUCAUUUGUAACCACAGCACAAUGAUUCUGCUGCAGGAGAAAUGUCAUUUCAGGCAGUCAUACAACUGAAUAUUUGAGAGUAUUUGCAAAUUCAGUGUCAUCCAAAUUUGGAUUAGCAAAUUCCAAACUAGCUAAUGGUUUUCUUUAUUCAGAUUAGACAUAACAAAUAUCAGGUACAGCAGUUAGUCUAAAAAAAUACAUUUAAAAAA